AUUGAACGCUGGCGGCAGGCCUAACACAUGCAAGUCGAACGAGUGGCGGACGGGUGAGUAAUGUCUGGGAAACUGCCUGAUGGAGGGGGAUAACUACUGGAAACGGUGGCUAAUACCGCAUAACAUCAACUGUGCCCAGAGGGGAUUGGCUUGUUGGUGGGGUAAUGGCUCACAAAGGCGACGCUCCCUAGCUGGUCUGAGAGGAUGACCAGCCACACGGGAACUGAGACACGGUCCAGACUCCUACGGGAUGCAGCAGUGGUGAAUAUUGCACAAUGGGCGCAAGCCUGAUGCAGCGAUGCCGCGUGUAUGAAGAAGGCCUUCGGGUUGUAAAGUACUUUCAGCGGGGAGGCGUUACCCGCAGAAGAAGCACCGGCUAACUCCGGGCCAGCAGCCGCGGUAAUAC
rnacentral:rRNA from 1 species